UACGUAGGGAGCGAGCGUUGUCCGGAUUCAUUGGGCGUAAAGAGCUCGUAGGCGGCUUGAUAAGUCGGAUGUGAAACCUCCAGGCUCAACCUGGAGUCGCCAUCCGAUACUGUCAUGGCUAGAGUCCGGUAGGGGCCCACGGAAUUCCUGGUGUAGCGGUGAAAUGCGCAGAUAUCGGGAGGAACACCGGUGGCGAAGGCGGUUCUCUGGGCCUUACCUGACGCUGAGGAGCGAAAGCGUGGGGAGCGAACAGG
rnacentral:rRNA from 1 species